rnacentral:rRNA from 1 species
AUUGAACGCUGGCGGCAGGCCUAACACAUGCAAGUCGAGCGGAUGAGUGGAGCUUGCUCCAUGAUUCAGCGGCGGACGGGUGAGUAAUGCCUAGGAAUCUGCCUGGUAGUGGGGGCCAACGUUUCGAAAGGAACGCUAAUACCGCAUACGUCCUACGGGAGACAGCAGGGGACCUUCGGGCCUUGCGCUAUCAGAUGAGCCUAGGUAGGGUUAGCUAGUAGGUCAGGUAAUGGCUCACCUAGGCGACGUUCCGUAACGUGUCUGAGAGUAUGAUCAGUCAGACUGGAACUGAGACACGUUCCAGACUCCUACGGGAGGCAGCAGUGGGGAAUAUUGGACAGUGGGCGAAAGCCUGAUCCAGCCAUGCCGCGUGUGUGAAGAAGGUCUUCGGAUUGUAAAGCACUUUAAGUUGGGAGGAAGGGCAGUAAGCUAAUACCUUGCUGUUUUGACGUUACCGACAGAAUAAGCACCGGCUAACUCUGUGCCAGCCGCCGCGGUAAUAC